AUUGAACGCUGGCGGCAGGCCUAACACAUGCAAGUCGAACGGUUGUAGCAAUACAGCCGUGGCGCACGGGUGAGUAACGCGUGGGAAUCUGCCCAGUAGUACGGAAUAACAGUUGGAAACGACUGACAAUACCGUAUACGCCCUUCGGGGGAAAGUUUUUCGCUAUGUGAUGAGCCCGCGUCAGAUUAGCUAGUUGGUGGGGUAAUGGCCUACCAAGGCGACGAUCUGUAGCUGUUCUGAGAGGAAGACCAGCCACACUGGAACUGAGACACGGUCCAGACUCCUACGGGAUGCAGCAGUGGGGAAUAUUGGACAAUGGGCGAAAGCCUGAUCCAGCCAUGCCGCGUGAGUGAUGAAGGCCUUAGGGUUGUAAAGCUCUUUUGGCGGGGAAGAUAAUGACGGUACCCGCAGAAUAAGUUCCGGCUAACUUCGUGCCAGCAGCCGCUGUAA
rnacentral:rRNA from 1 species